rnacentral:rRNA from 1 species
CCUACGGGUCGCACCAGUGGGGAAUCUUCCGCAAUGGGCGAAAGCUUGACGGAGCAAUGCCGCGUGGAGGUAGAAGGCCUACGGGUCGUGAACUUCUUUUCCCGGAGAAGAAGCAAUGACGGUAUCUGGGGAAUAAGCAUCGGCUAACCCUGUGCCAGCAGCCGCGGUAAUACAGAGGAUGCAAGCGUUAUCCGGAAUGAUUGGGCGUAAGGCGUCUGUAGGUGGCUUUUUAAGUCCGCCGUCAAAUCCCAGGGCUCAACCCUGGACAGGCGGUGGAAACUGCCAAGCUGGAGUACGGUAGGGGCAGAGGGAAUUUCCGGUGGAGCGGUGAAAUGCGUAGAGAUCGGAAAGAACACCAACGGUGAAAGCACUCUGCUGGGCCGACACUGACACUGAGAGACGAAAGCUAGGGGAGCGAAUGGGAUUAGAUACCCCCGUAGUC